AACGAACGCUGGCGGCAGGCUUAACACAUGCAAGUCGAGCGCCCCGCAAGGGGAGCGGCAGACGGGUGAGUAACACGUGGGGAUCUGCCCAAUGGUACGGAAUAGCUCCGGGAAACUGGAAAUAAUACCGUAUGUGCCCGCAAGGGGAAAGAUUUAUCGCCAUUGGAUGAACCCGCGUCGGAUUAGCUAGUUGGUGAGGUAAAGGCUCACCAAGGCGACGAUCCGUAGCUGGUCUGAGAGGAUGAUCAGCCACACUGGGACUGAGACACGGCCCAGACUCCUACGGGAGGCAGCAGUGGGGAAUAUUGGACAAUGGGCGCAAGCCUGAUCCAGCCAUGCCGCGUGAGUGAUGAAGGCCUUAGGGUUGUAAAGCUCUUUCGCCGACGAAGAUAAUGACGGUAGUCGGAGAAGAAGCCCCGGCUAACUUCGUGCCAGCCGCCGCGGUAAAAC
rnacentral:rRNA from 1 species